GGACCGUUAGCUCAGCGGUGAGAGCGCCCGGCUCAUAACCGGGUCGUCCGGGGUUCGAAUCCCUGACGGUCCA
rnacentral:tRNA from 1 species